rnacentral:lncRNA from 1 species
AUGUCAAAAGGCAGCUAGAUGUUCAAGUUUGAAUGAAACUAUCACAUCCCUAGGUACAUGUUGCAACUUUUCCUAAAUGUGAAUAGUUCUAGCAAAAUAUCAAAGCAUGCUUGCAGAAAAGGGAGUUUGAAGGGUCUAAAGUUUUACAGAUGCACUCAAGUUCUAAAGCUCCAUUAAAGAUAAAUUGUUUUUAUUUCUUUUUCUUUUUUUUAUUAACAGGCAUUCACAGCACUGUAUACACCCUUCUAACGAGACAUCCAUGGGUGUUGCCAUAAUGCCCUCUGGAAUGUUGUGAACCCGCUUUGCUACCGCUCAAAAAGCACUGCAGAAGCGGUAGCAUGCAUGUUUCGUUGUCACAUACAACAGUCCAGAGAGAAGGUGGUCUUUCCCUCAAAUAGAAAGAUCUAUUAGGUGAUAGGCUCUUUCUUGGGCUGUACCUGAGCUAUGAGUGACACUGCAGUUGGGCACUAAAAUUUAUUUUAGUGCCACCUCAAAACUAAAUACCCAAACAAAAUUUUCAUUUCGCUCCCAUAAAGAUACUGCCCUUACAGCCACACUGUGAAAUGUCAAACCAACAACCCUGUGCUCAAUGACAAAACACCCUAGCCAUUAACCCAGUGCCGCAGAUGUACAACGGCGCAUCAUGUCUUUAGGCCACUACACUUGACAUAAAUAACCAGCCAUGAGCAAGUAACUUCUGCCCUGAGUGAUAAGUCAUGGUCAUAUAUAUGACACAAACCUUUCACGCAGUGAGUAUGCAACUCUCGACCAUGCCAUGUGCAAACUGGGCACUCAUGAAAAACUGCAACGUUUGUUUUAAUGCUUAGUAUGCAAACAGUUAAGUUUUGCAUACAUGGUAAAUGUUUUCUGUAUAAAAGCUGGUCAGCACCCCUUGAGAUGUCUGAACACAUAUCUUUUCCCUUUGUUUCCCGAAUACUGCAGCAAGAGUUCAACUGCACUCCCAGAGGGAAACUAAAAGGAAACUACAAAUUAUUCUAGACAAGCAGACUAAUCUUUAAACUCUCUGGUUAUAUUCCUUAGGUACAGGAAGGCCAAUUACUAACAAGAAAAGUAAUUGGAACACAAUGCUUUAUUGAAUUCCAGGCCCAAACUGGGGCUGCAAUGACAUCAGUCAGAUGUCUUUGAUUUCAUGGUAUUACAGUGAACACUCUGUGUUGAUCCUGUCCUCUCUGUCUGUGCAUCAAUUUUUUUCCUUUCACACCUCUUUGUGACUCUCAAGGCCAUUGCCUCUUAUGUCAGCUGUUAAAGGCCAACUGCAAUAAAAUUUAACUUUGGCCAAAUUAGUUAUAAACGAGUAGUUUAUUGAAGCAAUUUUGGCAAAGCUGCAGGGCUGGCAUUAUUAUUUGCUGUCUUUU